rnacentral:lncRNA from 1 species
GAAGAAAAACACUUUGGAGUUUUGACAAGAUGGGAAUUGAGAUGAGCCAAGAAUAAUAGCAUGACAAUGUAAUCAAGACAAUUAUUAUGUUAUCACAACAAAAAAAGACAAUACAACUCGAAAAUCUUCUAUGAGAACCUCAAAUAUAAUGUUCUAAUAAACCUCAGUGGCAUUACUAAGAUAGUGAAAUACCAAACAGCAAAAUAUAAAGAGAGAAAUAAACUUACAUCAGCAACCUCAUCCUGCAACUCCCCCUUCAUCUCCUUUAGAUUUUCUUCUUCAGCCAUUGUUUCAACUACCAUCAACCAAUAUUAAUAACAAAAACAACAGUAAAUCUUAUUCCCAAUUUUUUUUUUAUAAAAAAAAAAAAACCCGCUCCUAGAAAGUACUUUAAGAACAAAAUGCAGCUCCUCAAAAUAAAUCUUACUCCCAAUUGGUUACUAUCAGCACUUAACACAGAAACCCUAACUGAAGAAAUGUAUAGGAAGAAACAGUUGACAAAAUUUAUGGGUGAUAAAAGAGGAAUAACCUAGAAGACAAAAUCAGACGAAUGAAAAGCUACCUUCUUCAGUUUUGCUUCUGCCGAAAAAUGCAAUGCUAUGUCAAUUUUUUUGCUGUAGGUAUUUGAUGCUUAAACACAAACCUCUAUUGCCCUCAGGA